rnacentral:lncRNA from 1 species
AGUGUAUAUGUAGUGUAUAUUCCAGUAUGGGGUAGUGUAUUUGUAGUGUAUAUUUCAGUAUGGGGUAGUGUAUAUGUAGUGUGUAUUCCAGUAUGGACUAGUGUAUAUGUAGUGUGUAUUCCAGAAUGGCGUAUUUGUAGUGUAUAUUUCAGUAUGGACUAGUGUAUAUGUAGUGUGUAUUCCAGUAUGGACUUGUGUAUAUGUAGUGUGUAUUCCAGAAUGGCGUAUUUGUAGUGUAUAUUCCAGUAUGGACUGGUGUAUAUGUAGCUGUGUAUUCCAGUUUGGGCUAGUUUAUAUGUAGUGUGUUCCAGUAUGGGCAUUAUAUAGAUUUUUCCUUCUUCCCUCAGCGUGCUCAGUAUGCUUGCCAGCUUCGUCUAGACGUCUGUGUUUAUGCUUGACGAUGUGUGUAAGGAUGAAUCAUGUUUAGAGUGUGCAGGUGGCAGGAAUUUAGAUAGAGGGAGUUAUAUAUAGAGAGGAGAGGGAGUUAUAUAUAGAGAGAAGAGGGAGUUAUAUAGAGAGAGGAGAGGGAGUUAUAUAUAGCGAGAGGAGAGGGAGUUAUAUAUAGAGAGGAGAGGGAGUUAUAUAGAGAGAGGAGAGGGAGUUAUAUAUAGAGAGAGGAGAGGGAGUUAUAUAGAGAGAGGAGAGGGAGUUAUAUAUAGAGAGGAGAGGGAGUUAUAUAUAGAGAGGAGAGGGAGUUAUAUAGAGAGAGGAGAGGGAGUUAUAUAGAGAGAGGAGAGGGAGUUAUAUAGAGAGAGGAGAGGGAGUUAUAUAGAGAGAGGAGAGGGAGUUAUAUAUAUUUAUAGAGAGAGGAGAGGGAGUUAUAUAUAUAUAGAGAGAGAGAGGAGAGGGAGUUAUAUAUAGAGAGAGGAGAGGGAGUUAUAAAGAGAGAGAGGAGAGGGAGUUAGCUAGAGAGGAGCGGGAGGGAGAGAGGAGAGGGAGUUAUAUCGAGAGGAGGAGGUAGAGAGGAGAGGGAGUUGUAGAGAGGAGAGGGAGGAAGAGAGGAGAGGGAGUUAUAUAUAGAGAGAGAGGUAGAGAGGAGAGGGAGUUAUAUAGAGAGAGGAGAGGGAGUUAUAUAUAGAGAGGAGAGGGAGUUAUAUAUAGAGAGGAGAGGGAGUUAUAUAGAGAGAGGAGAGGGAGUUAUGUAGAGAGAGGAGAGGGAGUUAUAUAGAGAGAGGGAGGUAGAGAGGAGAGGGAGUUAUAUAUAUAGAGAGAGGUAGAGAGGAGAGGGAGUUAUAUAUAGAGAGGGAGGUAGAGAGGAGAGGCAGUUAUCUAGAGAGAAGGUAGAGAGGAGAGGGAGUUGUACAGAGAGAGGAGAUUGAGUUAUAUAGAGAGGAGGUAGAGAGGAGAAGGAGUUCUAUAGCGAGAGCGGGGAGAGUGAGAGGAGAGAGAGGAGAGGCAGGAAGAGAGAGAGGAGAGGGAGGAAG